rnacentral:rRNA from 1 species
GUCGUGCGAGAAGUAUCUUCGGAUAUGAGUAGAGCGGCGGACGGGUGAGUAACGCGUAGGAAUCUACCUAGUAGAAGGGGAUAGCCCGGGGAAACUCGGAUUAAUACCGUAUACCUCCUUCGGGAGAAAGAAGGCCUCUCUUUGAAGCUUUCGCUAUUAGAUGAGCCUGCGUAAGAUUAGCUUGUUGGUGAGGUAAAGGCUCACCAAGGCUACGAUCUUUAGCUGGUCUGAGAGGACGAUCAGCCACAUUGGGACUGAGACACGGCCCAGACUCCUACGGGAGGCAGCAGUGGGGAAUAUUGGACAAUGGGCGCAAGCCUGAUCCAGCCAUACCGCGUGUGUGAAGAAGGCCUUCGGGUUGUAAAGCACUUUAGGCAGGGAGAAAAAGUUAUAGGUUAAUACCCUAUGACCCUGAUGUUACCUGCAGAAUAAGCACCGGCUAAUUCCGUGCCAGCAGCCGCGGUAAUACGGAAGGUGCAAGCGUUAAUCGGAAUUACUGGGCGUAAAGCGCGCGUAGGUGGUUUGUUAAGUUGGAUGUGAAAGCCCUGGGCUCAACCUAGGAACUGCAUCCAAAACUAACUCACUAGAGUACGAUAGAGGGAGGUAGAAUUCAUAGUGUAGCGGUGGAAUGCGUAGAUAUUAUGAAGAAUACCAGUGGCGAAGGCGGCCUCCUGGAUCUGUACUGACACUGAGGUGCGAAAGCGUGGGUAGCGAACAGGAUUAGAUACCCUGGUAGUCCACGCCGUAAACGAUGACAACUAGCUGUUGGGAGACUAUGUCUUUCAGUGGCGCAGCUAACGCUUUAAGUUGUCCGCCUGGGGAGUACGGCCGCAAGGCUAAAACUCAAAUGAAUUGACGGGGACCCGCACAAGCGGUGGAAGCAUGUGGUUUAAUUCGAUGCAACGCGAAAAACCUUACCUACUCUUGACAUACUUGGAAGCUCUUGUAAAUGAGAGUGUGCCUUUUGGAGCCAAGAUACAGGUGCU